AGAAACUUAGGAUAAUCUAAACCAAAGGCCUUCAAAGCCUUAAAUAAGAGUCAAACCCUCUUAGUUUCUG
rfam:Tyto alba contig21081, whole genome shotgun sequence.